UACGUAGGGGGCUAGCGUUGUCCGGAAUCAUUGGGCGUAAAGAGCGUGUAGGCGGCCCGGUAAGUCCGCUGUGAAAGUCGGGGGCUCAACCCUCGAAUGCCGGUGGAUACUGUCGGGCUAGAGUGCGGAAGAGGCGAGUGGAAUUCCUGGUGUAGCGGUGAAAUGCGCAGAUAUCAGGAGGAACACCGGUGGCGAAGGCGGUUCCCUGGCCCAGUACUGACGCUGAGGCACGAAAGCGUGGGGAGCGAACGGG
rnacentral:rRNA from 1 species